GGCCGCGUGGCCUAAUGGUUAAGGCGUUGGUUUUCGGUCACGUGCGCACCAAAGAUUGGGAGUUCGAAUCUUCCCGCGGUCG
rfam:Fonsecaea multimorphosa CBS 102226 unplaced genomic scaffold supercont1.3, whole genome shotgun sequence.